rnacentral:hammerhead_ribozyme from 1 species
AUCCAGCUGACGAGUCCCAAAUAGUACGAAAAGCGCAUUAUCCUGGAU